rnacentral:rRNA from 1 species
AAUCAGUUAUGGUUCCUUAGAUCGUUCAUACUACAUGGAUAACUGUGGUAAUUCUAGAGCUAAUACAUGCAAAAAGCUCCGACCGUAUGGGAAGAGCGCUUUUAUUAGACCAAAACCAAUGGGGUCGCAAGACUCCUUUGUAUGGUGACUCUGGAUAACUUUGUGCUGAUCGCAUGGCCUAGAGCCGGCGACGUAUCUUUCAAGUGUCUGCCCUAUCAACUUUCGAUGGUAAGCGAUUUGCCUACCAUGGUUGUAACGGGUAACGGGGAAUCAGGGUUCGAUUCCGGAGAGGGAGCAUGAGAAAUGGCUACCACAUCUACGGAAGGCAGCAGGCGCGCAAAUUACCCACUCCUAGAACGGGGAGGUAGUGACGAAAAAUAACAAUACCGGACUCAAUGAGGCUCGGUAAUUGAAAUGAGUACAGUUUAAAACCCUUAACGAGGAUCUAUUGGAGGGCAAGUCUGGUGCCAGCAGCCGCGGUAAUUCCAGCUCCAAUAGCGUAUAUUAAAGUUGUUGCAGUUAAAAAGCUCGUAGUUGGAUCUCGGGUACUAGCAUGUGGUACGCUUAAUUGCUGUUACUACAUGUCUGGUCCUAAUCAACCGGUUGGCCGUUGAUGUCCUUUAUUGGGUGUUUUCGGUAGCCGGUACGUUUACUUUGAGAAAAUUAGAGUGCUUAAAGCAGGCCUUACGCCUGAAUAAUGUUGCAUGGAAUAAUAGAAUAGGACCUCGGUUCUAUUUUGUUGGUUUUGUAGAGCAUUGAGGUAAUGAUUAAUAGGGACAGACGGGGGCAUUCGUAUUGCGGUGUUAGAGG